GCCACAGAUUUGUGGCUGGAGGUUGUGAGCAUUCUACUACCAGAACGUCUCGCAUGAUCAGCUUCCAGUGUAAGCAGCAAGCGCUUUGCGCAUACAGCACGGAACUCGAUGAGACCCGCUCUCGUCCUUGCUGUAGGACAGAAGCUUAUCCGCAGCGGACCUGGCCACCUCCGUAUACUCCAUGAAUGCUGCAGGAGACAGGCUACUGUAUAACAAUUUGCACUCUUCCGGGAAGACUUUCCACAAGAUAUUGGAGUGUUUCAUCCAGUAGAGCAUUUAUCAGGUCAGGCACUGAUGUUGGAGGAGGUCUGGCUCGCAAUCUCCGCUUUAGUUCACCCCAAAGGUCUUCAAUGGGGUUGAGGUCAGGGCUCUGUGCGGCCAGACUUCCAUACCAAACUCAUCCAACCAUCUCUCCAUGGACCUUGCUUUGUACACUGGGGCACAGACUGUUCCCACAAAGUUAGAAGCAUAGCAUUGUCCAAAAUGUCUUGGUAUGUACCCUUCAGCAUCUAAUGUAUGUGUAUUUAGAAUGUGAUAUAACAAAAGUCCCGGUUGGUGCAGUGGUCAGAUGUCCCAAUACAUUUGUCCAUAUCAUGU